AAAAUAGUUUCAUAUGAGGUGUGUAUAUAGUAUGGGACGUCCUGAAUAAGAACUGGUGGUUGUUUUUUUCUACUUAUUAGAAAUGGGGUCUUUAUACCCCUCUAAAGUGUAAUAAUGUCCCAUAUCUCAAAAAUGCUGCAGUAAAAUAGUUUCAUAUGAGGUGUGCGUAUAGUAUGGGACGUCCUGAAUAAGAACUGAUCAUUGUUUUUUUCUACUUAUUAGAAAUGGGGUCUUUAUACCCCUUUAAAG